UACAAAACCCUUUGCUGGCUCAGAAAAGUCUUUUUCGCCACAAAAUUAAUUAGAUUUUUAGUUACAAAACCAUAGCAUAUAUUUUGAGAUAUCGGCCCUUGCGAUUUAGCAGCCUGUCUGCCACCGCUGGUGCCUUUCCCAAGAGGUGUUUGCCGCAGCCAUAAUUUAUGAGCCUUCUUGACAAAAGUCAAAAGAGAAGACUUAAAUCAUCAACUCAAAUAAACCAAAUAAAUCUCGAGGUUAAGAAACCGGGAAAUUCUUCAUCAAAAUUUAAAAUUGUUAAAAUAUACUACUCACCGUGCCGAGCAUGAAGGUUGACUCUUGGUAUGCUCCGCAGUAUCCGAGGCAGCUGAGCACAAACACAAAGCCGCCUGCAGCGAUCAAAAUCCAAGACGCCUGCUCAAUCACGGUAGGCUGCGAGAAUUGCUGGAA